rnacentral:rRNA from 1 species
ACAAGCGGUGGAUGAUGUAGGAUUAAUUCGAUGCAACGCGAAAAACCUUACCUACCCUUGACAUGUCUGGAAUGCCGAAGAGAUUUGGCAGUGCUCGCAAGAGAACCGGAACACAGGUGCUGCAUGGCUGUCGUCAGCUCGUGUCGUGAGAUGUUGGGUUAAGUCCCGCAACGAGCGCAACCCUUGUCAUUAGUUGCUACGAAAGGGCACUCUAAUGAGACUGCCGGUGACAAACCGGAGGAAGGUGGGGAUGACGUCAAGUCCUCAUGGCCCUUAUGGGUAGGGCUUCACACGUCAUACAAUGGUCGGGACAGAGGGUCGCCAACCCGCGAGGGGGAGCCAAUCCCAGAAACCCGAUCGUAGUCCGGAUCGCAGUCUGCAACUCGACUGCGUGAAGUCGGAAUCGCUAGUAAUCGCGGAUCAGCAUGUCGCGGUGAAUACGUUCCCGGGUCUU